rnacentral:rRNA from 1 species
GACGAACGCUGGCGGCGUGCUUAACACAUGCAAGUCGAACGGAAAGGCCCUGCUUUUGUGGGGUGCUCGAGUGGCGAACGGGUGAGUAACACGUGAGUAACCUGCCCUUGACUUUGGGAUAACUUCAGGAAACUGGGGCUAAUACCGGAUAGGAGCUCCUGCUGCAUGGUGGGGAUUGGAAAGUUUCGGCGGUUGGGGAUGGACUCGCGGCUUAUCAGCUUGUUGGUGGGGUAGUGGCUUACCAAGGCUUUGACGGGUAGCCGGCCUGAGAGGGUGACCGGCCACAUUGGGACUGAGAUACGGCCCAGACUCCUACGGGAGGCAGCAGUGGGGAAUAUUGCACAAUGGGCGGAAGCCUGAUGCAGCAACGCCGCGUGCGGGAUGACGGCCUUCGGGUUGUAAACCGCUUUCGCCUGUGACGAAGCGUGAGUGACGGUAAUGGGUAAAGAAGCACCGGCUAACUACGUGCCAGCAGCCGCGGUGAUACGUAGGGUGCGAGCGUUGUCCGGAUUUAUUGGGUGUAAAGGGCUCGUAGGUGGUUGAUCGCGUCGGAAGUGUAAUCUUGGGGCUUAACCCUGAGCGUGCUUUCGAUACGGGUUGACUUGAGGAAGGUAGGGGAGAAUGGAAUUCCUGGUGGAGCGGUGGAAUGCGCAGAUAUCAGGAGGAACACCAGUGGCGAAGGCGGUUCUCUGGGCCUUUCCUGACGCUGAGGAGCGAAAGCGUGGGGAGCGAACAGGCUUAGAUACCCUGGUAGUCCACGCUGUAAACGGUGGGUACUAGGUGUGGGGUCCAUUCCACGGGUUCCGUGCCGUAGCUAACGCUUUAAGUACCCCGCCUGGGGAGUACGGCCGCAAGGCUAAAACUCAAAGGAAUUGACGGGGCCCCGCACAAGCGGCGGAGCAUGCGGAUUAAUUCGAUGCAACGCGUAGAACCUUACCUGGGUUUGACAUGGAUCGGGAGCGCUCAGAGAUGGGUGUGCCUCUUUUGGGGUCGGUUCACAGGUGGUGCAUGGCUGUCGUCAGCUCGUGUCGUGAGAUGUUGGGUUAAGUCCCGCAACGAGCGCAACCCUUGUUCACUGUUGCCAGCACGUUAUGGUGGGGACUCAGUGGAGACCGCCGGGGUCAACUCGGAGGAAGGUGGGGAUGACGUCAAGUCAUCAUGCCCCUUAUGUCCAGGGCUUCACGCAUGCUACAAUGGCUGGUACAGAGAGUGGCGAGCCUGUGAGGGUGAGCGAAUCUCGGAAAGCCGGUCUCAGUUCGGAUUGGGGUCUGCAACUCGACCUCAUGAAGUCGGAGUCGCUAGUAAUCGCAGAUCAGCAACGCUGCGGUGAAUACGUUCCCGGGGCU